rnacentral:rRNA from 1 species
GUAGGGAGCAAGCGUUGUUCGGAAUUAUUGGGGCGUAAAGAGCGCGUAGGCGGCCAGGUAAGUCUGAUGUGAAAUCCCACAGCUCAACUGUGGAACUGCAUUGGAAACUGCUUGGCUAGAGUGCGGGAGAGGAGAGUGGAAUUCCCAGUGUAGAGGUGAAAUUCGUAGAUAUUGGGAGGAACACCAGUGGCGAAGGCGGCUCUCUGGACCGCAACUGACGCUGAGGCGCGAAAGCUAGGGGAGCGAACGGGAUUAGAUACCCCGGUAGUCCUAGCCGUAAACGAUGGGCACUAGGUGUAGGAGGUAUCGACCCCUUCUGUGCCGUAGCUAACGCAUUAAGUGCCCCGCCUGGGGAGUACGGUCGCAAAGACUA